rnacentral:rRNA from 1 species
UACUAGAGUAGCACUCGCAUAUCAAUAAGCGGAGGAAAAGAAACUAACAAGGAUUCCCCUAGUAACGGCGAGUGAAGCGGGAAGAGCUCAAAUUUGAAAUCUUAAAGGGUUUCCCUUUACGAAUUGUAGUUUAAAGAAGUGUUUUCUGUUGAGGUUUUGGUAAAAGUUCUUUGGAAUAGGACAUCAUAGAGGGUGAGAAUCCCGUAUUUGACCUUUACUUUCAACUUUGUGAUACACUUUCAAAGAGUCGGAUUGUUUGGGAAUGCAGUCCAAAAUGGGUGGUAAAUUUCAUCUAAAGCUAAAUAUUGGCGAGAGACCGAUAGCGAACAAGUACCGUGAGGGAAAGAUGAAAAGAACUUUGAAAAGAGAGUUAAACAGUACGUGAAAUUGUCAAAAGGGAAGCGUUUGACACCAGUGUUGUUUUUCUGAAAAUCGAUUAAAGAACUGUUUAUGCUAAGUUGUUUAGACUUUAUCAGCUAACUGUUUAGUUUUGAGCUUUUCUUUAAUGCACUUUUCAGUUAACAAGUCAACAUCAAUUUCUUUUGCUGUAAAAAAGCUUGAGGAAGGUGGCUUGAGAUUCGUCUUAAGUGUUUAUAGCCUCUUGCCUAUGCAGUCGGAGAGAUUGAGGUCUGCAGCGUAGAUCCUUCGGGGCUAAAUGCAUUUGUGCUAAGUUAUAGCAUUUAUAGACAACUUGUUGACUAUGAUUUGUCUUGUAGCUUACUCGCUUAUGUUAUUUUACCUACGCUUAGGAUGUUGAGCGCAUGUCUCUCUCU